UGUUGGACAUAUCAAAUAACAAGCUAAUGACGCUAUCUAAAAUUAUAUUUGGUGUUCACGAGAUUUCAAAUAAUCUGAGAAUAGUCGCAAGCUCCAAUAGCUGGCACUGUGACUGUCAAUUGCAAAAAGAAAUGAAUGAGAUUUUCAUUUACCACAACUCAAAAUUAGAUAUGUUUUGCACGUCUCCAGAGGAAUACAAGAACUGGAUGGUUUUCGAUGAACGCCUUUGUGUAAAUGAUUCGGAUUUACCUCCAUCUGUUUACAUACCAACUACAACCACGGGAAUAAUCACAACAACAAUUACCUCGACUACUCCGAAAACAACAACGGAUAAUCAUACUAUUUUUACAACACUGUCAACACCUGACACUGAGCAACCCAAUGAGAUCGUAACGUUGGAAUGUUUAUCGACUAAUAAUACAUUAAAAACUAAUGACAACAGGCAGAAUGUCAGGUGGCCACAGAUCAACUUCUCCCCAACAGAUAUUGGGGCACUUACAGUAAAAAUUAGUGUCGAUCAGGGCGAAAGCACAAGCGCUCUCUCCUUUGGUCUCUUUUGGUUCUCGAAAACUACAAAGGAGUAUUACAUGAUGGAACUGAUACCCGACGAGUUUGGACUUGGUUGUUAUUUUACAAUGCCACUGCAGACAAUUGUAACAGAAUUAAUGCCAAACGUAGCUUAUACAUUUUGUUUGGUUGACGAUCAGCAUAACACUGUUUCUCCUUUCAGUUGUAAGUCAGUUCAUAUUGGCGGUAAUUUGGACACAUAUUACGAUGCCUGGCUUUCGAAAGGAAUGCGUGCUAAAGGUAUAUCUUUGUUGGUGCUUGGUGUCGUUGUAUUCAUGUUGACGGGCAUAAUGCUAAUGUUUUUGGUUUUGAAGAAGAAACCAAUCUGGGUAAAGGGCAGCAAUCGGAUCGUCAAACCAAAUUCAAGUUCCGCCGAUAUUGUCGUCUUAUCACGUGGUAAUACAGCGCAAGAUUUCCUGCAUAAAGAAAAAAUGUUCUCUACAAAAAAUGAGGAUCGGUUCAAUUCAAUCAUUCCGAGGCGCAACUCAAUGGAAAGCCUGGCCAGCAGUAAUAGCUACAUAAGCCCAAACUUAUAUGAAGUCAUCCCGACAUAUAUAUCAUUCGAUAAAAUACCACAAGGGGAUGCACCAACCCAACCAGGAUUUGAAAUAUUUAAUAACUGGCAAUCAUCCUUCGCUUAUAGAGGCAGCGUCAGAUACGCACAAAUUACGCCGCGAACGAAACGUAUUUCUAGUGACCCAUUGCCAGCUAUUCCCACUGAUUCAUAAUAAAACGCAACCAUAAAAAGAUACCACU